AAGCGAAUAAGCGCAUAUGGUGGAUGCCUUGGCGACAACAGGCGA
rnacentral:rRNA from 1 species